UCCACGUGUAGGCCCGGAGCGCCGGCUGCUCACGCUCGCUGCGCUUAGCGAAUAGACCGCUUAAGACGCUGGGCCUAGGAGGCACUUACCGAAAGGUAGAACUGGAAGGAACCACACAGGGUGGCUUUGUAUUCUCGUUCAAACACUGACCAGAUUCUCGCUAGCCCCGGCCUGAAAGUGAAGACUUGUAGUUGCUUUUGAGUGGCCCCUCUUCAGUGCUUUAUAUUAGAUUGCUCGAGUUUGCAAAAUCCUUUGACGCACACACGCGCGAGGUGUGUAUUUUUGAUCGUCUUGUGGAAACAUCGAUACUGAAAGGAGACGCCCAGACUGACAAGCCUGGAUGAGAACUAGAAUUCAGUUGAGCCUGGUCAUUCAUUUCACGCGUGCACUCAGCAUCCCCUGAGCAUUCACCGUGUCAGGACGCCUACCACAGCAUGGCGUGCCAAGCAGUGCCAUGUCCACACCCAGGAUCAGAACCAGCGAAGCCCAGGCCACGGAGAAGCAGAAUGUGCGAACUUAACCACUGCGCCACCAGGACGGCCCCUGACAGCAUCUUAAGAAGUCUCCUAGCCUCCAAUCUAGCCUUUCUGCAAUCCCGUCUCCUCAGUAUAAUCCAAGCCCUUUCUAAAACACGAAUGUCAUCAUGUUACUCCUUAAUUUAAACCCUUUAAUGAUUCCCGCACUGUGUUCAAGAGAACAUUUAAACUCUUUAACAAUGCACACAAGGCCUUUAAAAUCUGGUCUCCAUUAAAUACUAAAUCCUUA